rnacentral:rRNA from 1 species
CCUACGGGAGGCAGCAGUGAGGAAUAUUGGUCAAUGGGAGAGAUCCUGAACCAGCCAAGCCGCGUGAGUGAAGACGGCCCUAUGGGUUGUAAACCUCUUUUGUCGGAGAACAAAACCCGGGACGUGUCCCGGCCUCCGUGUAUCCGAAGAAAAAGCAUCGGCAAACUCCGUGCCAGCAGCCGUGGUAAUACGGGGGGUGCGAGCGUUAUCCGGAUUUAUUGGGUUAAAGGGGUGCGUGGGCGGUCCGUUAAGUCAGCGGUAAAGUUGCGGGGCCAAACCCCGUCGAGCCGUUGAAACUGGCAGACGUGAGUUGGCGAGAGGUACGCGGAAUGCGCGGUGUAGCGGUGAAAUGCAUAGAGAUCGCGAAGAACUCCGAUUGCGAAGGCAGCGUACCGGCGGCAGACUGACGCUGAGGCACGAAAGCGUGGGGAUCGAACAGGAUUAGAUACCCGGGUAGUC